UACGAAGGGGGCUAGCGUUGUUCGGAAUCACUGGGCGUAAAGGGCGCGUAGGCGGCUUUAUAAGUCGGGGGUGAAAGCCUGUGGCUCAACCACAGAAUUGCCUUCGAUACUGUAGAGCUUGAGACCGGAAGAGGUAAGUGGAACUGCGAGUGUAGAGGUGAAAUUCGUAGAUAUUCGCAAGAACACCAGUGGCGAAGGCGGCUUACUGGUCCGGUUCUGACGCUGAGGCGGCGAAAAGCGUGGGGAGCAAACAGG
rnacentral:rRNA from 1 species